AGUGAACGCUGGCGGUAGGCCUAACACAUGCAAGUCGAACGGCAGCACAGUAAGAGCUUGCUCUUACGGGUGGCGAGUGGCGGACGGGUGAGGAAUACAUCGGAAUCUACUUUUUCGUGGGGGAUAACGUAGGGAAACUUACGCUAAUACCGCAUACGACCUACGGGUGAAAGCAGGGGAUCUUCGGACCUUGCGCGAUUGAAUGAGCCGAUGUCGGAUUAGCUAGUUGGCGGGGUAAAGGCCCACCAAGGCGACGAUCAGUAGCUGGUCUGAGAGGAGGAUCAGCCACACUGGAACUGAGACACGGUCCAGACUCCUACGGGAGGCAGCAGUGGGGAAUAUUGGACAAUGGGCGCAAGCCUGAUCCAGCCAUACCGCGUGGGUGAAGAAGGCCUUCGGGUUGUAAAGCCCUUUUGUUGGGAAAGAAAAGCAGCAGGUUAAUACCCCGCUGUUCUGACGGUACCCAAAGAAGAAGCACCGGCUAACUUCGUG
rnacentral:rRNA from 1 species